rnacentral:rRNA from 1 species
GCAACCUGCCUGUAAGCGGGGAAUAACCCGUUGAAAGACGGACUAAUACCGCAUAAUACUAAAUUACUGCAUGGUAAUUUAUUUAAACAUUUAUGGCUUACAGAUGGGCAUGCGCAUGAUUAGCUAGUUGGAGAGGUAACGGCUCCCCAAGGCAACGAUCAUUAGGGGUUCUGAGAGGAAGGUCCCCCACACUGGUACUGAGACACGGACCAGACUCCUACGGGAGGCAGCAGUGAGGAAUAUUGGUCAAUGGACGAGAGUCUGAACCAGCCAAGUCGCGUGCGAAGGAAGAAUGUUACCCUAUGGAUUGUAAACUGCUUUUGCGAGGGGAAUAAAGUGCAUCACGUGUGAUGUUUUGUAUGUACUCUGCGAAUAAGGAUCGGCUAACUCCGUGCCAGCCGCCGC